UGAGUGUGAAGGUGUGUGUGUGUGUGUGUGUGUGGUUACCAGGAUCCUCUCUAUGAGCAUGUCGUAGUACUGCUCCGUCAGCUGUGUGUGUGUGUGUGUGUGUGUGUGUGUGUGUGUGUGUGUGUGUGUGGUUACCAGGAUCCUCUCUAUGAGCAUGUCGUAGUACCGCUCCGUCAGCUGUGUGUGUGUGUGUGUGUGUGUGUGAAGGUGUGUGUGUGUGUGGUUACCAGGAUCCUCUCUAUGAGCAUGUCGUAGUACUGCUCCGUCAGCUGUGUGUGUGUGUGUGUGUGUGUGUGUGUGUGUGUGGUUACCAGGAUCCUCUCUAUGAGCAUGUCGUAGUACCGCUCCGUCAGCUGUGUGUGUAUGUGUGUGUGUGAAGGUGUGUGUGUGUGUGUGUGGUUACCAGGAUCCUCUCUAUGAGCAUGUCGUAGUACCGCUCCGUCAGCUGUGUGUGUGUGUGUGUGUGAAGGUGUGUGUGUGUGUGGUUACCAGGAUCCUCUCUAUGAGCAUGUCGUAGUACUGCUCCGUCAGCUGUGUGUGUGUGUGUGUGUGUGUGUGAAGGUGUGUGUGUGUGUGGUUACCAGGAUCCUCUUUAUGAGCAUGUCGUAGUACCGCUCCGUCAGCUGUG